UUCCAGCUCCAAUAGCGUAUAUUAAAGUUGUUGCAGUUAAAAAGCUCGUAGUUGGAUUUCAAGAAACGCAUCUGGGUUACCAGUUUGCUUUCUACCAGUCUCUGACUGUUACUGUGAGAAAAUUAGAGUGUUUCAAGCAGGCAUUUGCAGGAAUACAUUAGCAUGGAAUAACGAAUGUACUUACAAUUUGGUUGAUUGUAGGCUACGAUUAAUAGGGACAGUUGGGGGCAUUAGUAUUUAAUUGUCAGAG
rnacentral:rRNA from 1 species